rnacentral:rRNA from 1 species
AUACGGAGGAUCCGAGCGUUAUCCGGAUUUAUUGGGUUUAAAGGGAGCGUAGGCGGGAGAUCAAGUCAGCUGUGAAAUGUAGAUGCUCAACAUCUGCACUGCAGUUGAAACUGGUUUUCUUGAGUGCGUAAGGGGUAGGCGGAAUUCGUCGUGUAGCGGUGAAAUGCUUAGAUAUGACGAAGAACUCCGAUCGCGAAGGCAGCCUGCCGGGCCGCGACUGACGCUGAAGCUCGAAGGUGCGGGUAUCGAACAGGAUUAGAUACCCUGGUAGUCCGCACAGUAAACGAUGGACACCCGCGGUUUGGCCUGUAUGGCUGAGCCGCCAAGCGAAAGCGUUAAGUGUCCCACCUGGGGAGUACGCCGGCAACGGUGAAACUCAAAGGAAUUGACGGGG